GGCCCAGCUCUUGCUGAACAAACUUCACCGGUAGCCAACGGCGGUUGCCUCGAAAAGAACUUCCGACAAAGACGUCGC
rnacentral:ncRNA from 1 species